CCAUCAGGACAAUAACCCUACACGUAAAACCUAAGCCACAGUAGACUGGGUUAGAACAAGGUACUUUCAUGUGUCAGGCAGUUGUUGAAGCUCAUCCAGGAGACGGGACCCGUGAUGUCCCCGCUGGUUCAUGAGAGUGCGCCCCCCGCAGAGCUCCAGCCUCCUUCAGCUGACCUUAACCUUCCAUCAUUACAGUCUAGCAUUGAGCUGUCAGGACUGGAUCUG